UACGAAGGACCCGAGCGUUAUCCGGAUUUAUUGGGUUUAAAGGGUGCGUAGGCGGAAUAGUAAGUCAGUGGUGAAAGCCUGUUGCUUAACAACAGAACUGCCAUCGAUACUGCUAAUCUUGAGUACAUAUGAUGUGGGCGGAAUGUGCCAUGUAGCGGUGAAAUGCUUAGAUAUGGCACAGAACACCGAUUGCGAAGGCAGCUCACAAAACUGAUACUGACGCUGAGGCGAGAAAGCGUGGGGAUCAAACAGG
rnacentral:rRNA from 1 species